GACGAACGCUGGCGGCGUGCCUAAUACAUGCAAGUUGAGCGCUGAAGGUUGGUACUUGUACCAACUGGAUGAGCAGCGAACGGGUGAGUAACGCGUGGGGAGUCUGCCUUUGAGCGGGGGACAACAUUUGGAAACGAAUGCUAAUACCGCAUAAAAACUUUAAACACAAGUUUUAAGUUUGAAAGAUGCAAUUGCAUCACUCAAAGAUGAUCCCGCGUUGUAUUAGCUAGUUGGUGAGGUAAAGGCUCACCAAGGCGAUGAUACAUAGCCGACCUGAGAGGGGGAGCGGCCACAUUGGGACUGAGACACGGCCCAAACUCCUACGGGAGGCAGCAGUAGGGAAUCUUCGGCAAUGGACGAAAGUCUGACCGAGCAACGCCGCGUGAGUGAAGAAGGUUUUCGGAUCGUAAAACUCGGUUGGUAGAGAAGAACGUUGGUGAGAGUGGAAAGCUCAUCAAGUGACGGUAACUACCCAGAAAGGGACGGCUAACUACGUG
rnacentral:rRNA from 1 species